GGGAACAUCCAGGGAGGUUCCAGUGCCUGCCAGGCAGCCCAGGUCCACUGAGGGCCCCGGGGCUGGAGGGAGGUCAUGUACCACUCGGCUCAAAGCGCUCCCUUCAAGCAUCUGAAGAGGGAAAGUCCAUUUAUCUUCUCUGAAAUGCAGGCAAUUUUUCAUACACUGGUGUGAAUGUGUUGGGGUCACCCAGGGGCUCCCUUAGUGGCCAGAUGCAGUUUGUCACAAACUGGUUUCCUGAAUUUCAUAUUGGAUCGGGAGCUAAAAGAAGAGAGAUUCCCAAACCCAUCAUGUCAAUAUUUGGUUCUAACAAAGUAAAAUCACAAGAGCACAUCAAACACAGGACCUAAUGCCCACGGCAGUGCCCAGGGCUGCUGUCCCUCUUGGGUGAGAAGUUCUUUAGCAGCAGGCACAGAGGUAAUUGCUUAGAAAGGCAAUGCCACAGUGAGUAAGGGAGAUUAACUUGGAUACAAACAUUUAGAAAGAUGCCUGAAGAAAACUAAUGUGGCUCCGUCUCUCUUCUGGAUUCUAAUGUUCCCAGAGCAGCAGCCACCCCUAAAUGCAAGUGGAGACAGGAUGGAAGCCCAGGGAGACAUGGGGGAGGCGGGGCUUGGCCAAACCACAGGCAGCUGCCAGAAAGGCCCACACACCUGUGUUCUGCACUCUGUGGUGGACACCCCAGGAAAGCAGGGGUGCCCCUGUAACUUCCAAACAGGUUCACCUUGUCCGCGGCCUAGACAGAGCCGAUUUAUUGAGACAGGGCAAUUGCAACAGAGAAAGAGUAAUUCAUGCAGAGCUGGCCGUAGGAGAGACCAGAGUUAUACUCCAAUCAGUCUCCAUUGGCAUGAUCCAUCAGCAUUCGGGGAUCAGAGUUUGGAAGGAUAAUUUGGUAGGUGGUGGGGAAGGCCAGUGAGUCGGGAGUGCUGAUUGCUUGGGUCAGACAUGAAAUCACAGGGAGUCAAAGCUGUCUUCUUGAGCUGAGUCAGUUCCUGGGUAAGAGCCACAAAAUCAGAUGAGGCAGUUUAUCAAUCUGGGUGGUGCCAGUUGAUCCAUCAAGAGCAAAUCUCUCAAGCACCGAUCUUAGGUUUUACAAUAGGGACGUAAUUCCUAGGAGCAAUUUGGGGAGGGGCAGAAUCUUGUAGCCUCCAGCUGCAUGAGUCCUAAACCAUAAUUUCUAAUCUUGUGGCUCAUUUGUUAGUCUUACAAAGGCCGUCUAGUCCCUAGGUGAGAAGGAGGUUUGUUUUGGGAAAGGGCUGUUAUCAUCUUUGUUUUAAAGUAUAAACUAUAAACUAAUAAAUGUGCUUUAUCAGUUAGGUGUGGUGGCUCACACCUGUAAUCCUAGCACUUUGGGAGGUCAAGAUAGGCAGAUAACUUGAGCCCAGGAGUUAGAGACCAGCCUGGGCAACAUGGAGACCCUGUCUCUACAAAAAAAUACAAAAAUUAGCCAGGCAUGGUGGUGUGGCGUAUGCUUGUAGUUCCAGCUACUCAGGAGGCUGAGGUGGGAGGAUCUUGAGCUCAGGAGGCGGAGGUGGCAGCAAGCUGAGAUCGCGCCACUGCACUUCAGCCUGGGUGACAGAAGGAGACCCUGUCUCAAAAAAAAAAAAAAAAAAAAA
ensembl:lncRNA